UACGUAGGGGGCAAGCGUUGUCCGGAUUUAUUGGGCGUAAAGCGCGUGUAGGCGGCCACGCAGGUCCGUUGUGAAAACUGGAGGCUCAACCUUCAGACGUCGACGGAAACCGUGUGGCUAGAGUCCGGAAGAGGAGAGUGGAAUUCCUGGUGUAGCGGUGAAAUGCGCAGAUAUCAGGAAGAACACCAAUGGCGAAGGCAGCUCUCUGGGACGGUACUGACGCUGAGACGCGAAAGCGUGGGGAGCGAACAGG
rnacentral:rRNA from 1 species